rnacentral:rRNA from 1 species
UACGUAGGUGGCGAGCGUUGUCCGGAUUUAUUGGGGUUAAAGGGUGCGUAGGCGGCUUUGUAAGUCAGUGGUGAAAUACUCCAGCUUAACUGGAGGGGUGCCAUUGAUACUGCGGAGCUUGAGUACAGAUGAGGUAGGCGGAAUUGACGGUGUAGCGGUGAAAUGCAUAGAUAUCGUCAAGAACACCGAUAGCGAAGGCAGCUUACUGGGCUGUAACUGACGCUGAUGCACGAAAGUGUGGGGAUCAAACAGG